AUCGAAAUAGUUAAACGAUAACUGAACUUUGAAGAAGUUUUAUUGAAGUGUUGAACCCCUUCUUUCGGUA
rnacentral:tRNA from 1 species